CUCAGAGCGAACGCUGGCGGCAGGCCUAACACAUGCAAGUCGAACGGACUCUUCGGAGUUAGUGGCGGACGGGUGAGUAACACGUGGGAACGUGCCUUUAGGUUCGGAAUAAGCUCGGGAAACUGGGUCUAAUACCGAAUGUGCCCUUCGGGGGAAAGAUUUAUCGCCUUUAGAGCGGCCCGCGUCUGAUUAGCUAGUUGGUGGUGUAAUGGACCACCAAGGCGACGAUCAGUAGCUGGUCUGAGAGGAUGACCAGCCACAUUGGGACUGAGACACGGCCCAAACUCCUACGGGAGGCAGCAGUGGGGAAUCUUGCGCAAUGGGCGAAAGCCUGACGCAGCCAUGCCGCGUGUAUGAUGAAGGUCUUAGGAUUGUAAAAUACUUUCACCGGUGAAGAUAAUGACUGUAGCCGGAGAAGAAGCCCCGGCUAACUUCGUGCCAGCAGCCGCGGUAAUACGAAGGGGGCUAGCGUUGCUCGGAAUUACUGGGCGUAAAGGGAGCGUAGGCGGACAUUUAAGUCAGGGGUGAAAUCCCAGAGCUCAACUCUGGAACUGCCUUUGAUACUGGGUGUCUUGAGUGUGAUAGAGGUAUGUGGAACUCCGAGUGUAGAGGUGAAAUUCGUAGAUAUUCGGAAGAACACCAGUGGCGAAGGCGACAUACUGGAUCAUUACUGACGCUGAGGCUCGAAAGCGUGGGGAGCAAACAGGAUUAGAUACCCUGGUAGUCCACGCCGUAAACGAUGAUUGCUAGUUGUCGGGGUGUUUACAUCUC
rnacentral:rRNA from 1 species